CCCCGUAACUUCGGGAGAAGGGGGACCAUGCCCGGUGAACAUCUUCACGGUGGGAGCUGGGUGUGGUCGCAGAGACCAGAGAGAAGCGACUGUUUACUAAAAACACAGGUCCGUGCGAAGACGUAAGUCGAUGUAUACGGACUGACGCCUGCCCGGUGCUGGAAGGUUAAGAGGACCGGUUAGCCGUAAGGCGAAGCUGAGAAUUUAAGCCCCAGUAAACGGCGGUGGUAACUAUAACCAUCCUAAGGUAGCGAAAUUCCUUGUCGGGUAAGUUCCGACCUGCACGAAUGGCGUAACGACUUCUCUGCUGUCUCGACCACAGACUCGGCGAAAUUGCACUACGAGUAAAGAUGCUCGUUACGCGCGGCAGGACGAAAAGACCCCGGGACCUUUACUAUAGCUUGGUAUUGGCGUUCGAUUCGGUUUGUGUAGGAUAGGUGGGAGACUGUGAAGCAUGCACGCCAGUGUGUGUGGAGUCGUUGUUGAAAUACCACUCUGAUCGUAUUGGACGUCUAACCUCGGCCCAUGAUCUGGGUUAGGGACAGUGCCUGGUGGGUAGUUUAACUGGGGCGGUUGCCUCCUAAAGAGUAACGGAGGCGCCCAAAGGUUCCCUCAGCCUGGAUGGCAAUCAGGUGUUGAGUGCAAGUGCACAAGGGAGCUUGACUGUGAGACUGACACGUCGAGCAGGGACGAAAGUCGGGACUAGUGAUCCGGCACCGGCAAGUGGAAGCGGUGUCGCUCAACGGAUAAAAGGUACCCCGGGGAUAACAGGCUGAUCUUCCCCAAGAGUCCAUAUCGACGGGAUGGUUUGGCACCUCGAUGUCGGCUCGUCGCAUCCUGGGGCUGGAGUAGGUCCCAAGGGUUGGGCUGUUCGCCCAUUAAAGCGGCACGCGAGCUGGGUUUAGAACGUCGUGAGACAGUUCGGUCUCUAUCCGCCGCGCGCGUAAGAAACUUGAGGAAGGCUGUCCCUAGUACGAGAGGACCGGGACGGACGAACCUCUGGUGUGCCAGUUGUUCCACCAGGAGCAUGGCUGGUUAGCUACGUUCGGAAGGGAUAACCGCUGAAAGCAUCUAAGCGGGAAGCCUGUUCCAAGAUGAGGUUUCUCACCACCUUGCGUGGUUAAGGCCCCCUACAGACCAUGGGGUUGAUAGGCCGGAACUGGAAGCGCAGCAAUGCGUGGAGGUGACCGGUACUAAUAGGCCGAGGGCUC
rnacentral:rRNA from 1 species